rnacentral:rRNA from 1 species
CGAGUCUGAAUAGGGCGAUAGUCGCUGGGAGUAGACCCGAAACCGGGCGAUCUAGCCAUGUGCAGGAUGAAGGUUGGGUAACACCAACUGGAGGUCCGAACCGGGUAAUGUUGAAAAAUUAUCGGAUGACGUGUGGCUAGGAGUGAAAGGCUAAUCAAGCCCGGAGAUAGCUGGUUCUCCCCGAAAGCUAUUUAGGUAGCGCCUCGUGAAUGAUUACUGGGGGUAGAGCACUGUUUCGGCUAGGGGGCUGUCAUGGCUUACCAAACCGAUGCAAACUCCGAAUACCGGCUAAUUGGAUCACGGGAGACACACGGCGGGUGCUAACGUCCGUCGUGGAGAGGGAAACAACCCAGACCGCCAGCUAAGGUCCCCAAGUACUAGUUAAGUGGGAAACGAUGUGGGAAGGCAUAGACAGCCAGGAGGUUGGCUUAGAAGCAGCCACCCUUUAAAGAAAGCGUAAUAGCUCACUGGUCGAGUCGGCCUGCGCGGAAGAUGUAACGGGGCUAAAACUAGUCACCGAAGCUGCGGAUGUGCGCGAAGGCGCACGUGGUAGGGGAGCGUUCUGUAGGCUGAUGAAGGUGCAUUGAGAGGUGUGCUGGAGGUAUCAGAAGUGCGAAUGCUGACAUGAGUAACGAUAAUGUGGGUGAAAAGCCCACACGCCGGAAGUCCCAGGUUUCCUGCACGACGUUAAUCGGAGCAGGGUGAGUCGGCCCCUAAGGCGAGGCUGAAGAGCGUAGUCGAUGGGAACCAGGUUAAUAUUCCUGGACUUUUUAUAAGUGGUGAAGUGGGGACGAAGAAGGCUAGGUGAGCCAGGCGUUGGUUGUCCUGGUACUUGCAUGUAGGGGGGAAGACUUGGCAAAUCCGGUUUUCCGAUACUCUGAGGUGCGAAGUGGUUCUGACCUUUUGGUACAGAGAAGUCAUUGAUGCCCGGCUUCCAGGAAAAGCUGCUAGCCAUAACUUAUAGAGAACCGUACCGCAAACCGACACAGGUGGACAGGUAGAGAAUACUAAGGCGCUUGAGAGAACUCGGGUGAAGGAACUAGGCAAAAUGGUACCGUAACUUCGGGAGAAGGUACGCCCUUUCUGGUGAUGGGAUUUACUUUCAGAGCUGGAGAGGGCCGCAGAGACCAGGUGGCUGCGACUGUUUAUUAAAAACACAGCACUCUGCAAAUUCGUAAGAAGACGUAUAGGGUGUGACGCCUGCCCGGUGCCGGAAGGUUAAUUGAUGGGGUUAUCUUCGGAGAAGCUCUUGAUCGAAGCCCCGGUAAACGGCGGCCGUAACUAUAACGGUCCUAAGGUAGCGAAAUUCCUUGUCGGGUAAGUUCCGACCUGCACGAAUGGCGUAACGAUGGCCACACUGUCUCCACCCGAGACUCAGUGAAAUUGAAAUCGCUGUGAAGAUGCAGUGUACCCGCGGCUAGACGGAAAGACCCCGUGAACCUUUACUAUAGUUUUGCACUGGACUUUGAUGAUGACUGUGUAGGAUAGGUGGGAGGCUGUGAAGUGAGGACGCUAGUUCUCAUGGAGCCGCCCUUGAAAUACCACCCUGUUGUUAUUGAGGUUCUAACUUGGUCCAGUAAUCCUGGAUGAGGACAGUGUAUGAUGGGUAGUUUGACUGGGGCGGUCUCCUCCCAAAGAGUAACGGAGGAGCACAAAGGUACCCUCGGUACGGUCGGACAUCGUACCAAGAGUGUAAAGGCAAAAGGGUGCUUGACUGCGAGAGUGACGGCUCGAGCAGGAACGAAAGUUGGUCUUAGUGAUCCGGUGGUUCUGAAUGGAAGGGCCAUCGCUCAACGGAUAAAAGGUACUCCGGGGAUAACAGGCUGAUACCGCCCAAGAGUUCAUAUCGACGGCGGUGUUUGGCACCUCGAUGUCGGCUCAUCACAUCCUGGGGCUGAAGCAGGUCCCAAGGGUAUGGCUGUUCGCCAUUUAAAGUGGUACGCGAGCUGGGUUUAGAACGUCGUGAGACAGUUCGGUCCCUAUCUGCCGUGGGCGUAGGAAAAUUGAGAGGAGCUGCUCCUAGUACGAGAGGACCGGAGUGGACGAACCUCUGGUGCACCGGUUGUCACGCCAGUGGCAUGGCCGGGUAGCUAAGUUCGGACGGGAUAACCGCUGAAAGCAUCUAAGCGGGAAGCCUCCCUCAAGAUGAGUUUUCCCAUGAAGCCCGUUGAAGACUACGACGUUGAUAGGCAAGGUGUGGAAGCGCAGUAAUGUGUGAAGCUAACUUGUACUAAUUGGCUGAUUGUCUUGACCAUAUAAUCUGAG